UAGACUACUAAUCUGUGGUAAUUUUGUUUUUGAGAUUUUUUGUUUUUGAAUGCAUAUAAUUAUUUACCUACACGAUUUCAAUUAAUUCUUAAAUGAAGUCCAUACCACAUAAAUAAUAACAAAUAAAUCUUAAAGAAUAUUCAUAUCUCUUCCUAAUGAAUGCAGUUAUUUGCAAAUACUUUAUUUAAUACUUAGUAAAAAACCUUAUAUUAAAUUACUUAAUAGAUGGCGUUUCCCCAGCCUAAUGCUCAACGAGAACUGACAAAUAGAAAGAUUUUAGAAGAGUUGCAACUGAAAAAGCAAAUGCUAUUGAAACAAGGUGCUGUAGCCCCUCUGACUGCCACAUCCAUAUCGCUCACCCAACCGAACCCUGUGAGCCAGUUGCCCAUGUGCUCUAUACCACCAGUCUCAGCCACAGCUGGUUUUCCACAAUUACCUGAAGCAAACAUAGUAAACACAAGUCAUCGAGCAGCACUGCAGCACGCUAAUGCUACAUCUUGUGGCUACUUUGUCUCGCAAGACUCAUCUUUUGGAAAUCAAAUUUUACCAGUACUGCCUAGAUUUGAUAGCAAGUAAAUAAAAAUAGUAGAAUGUCAGCUACAAUUAAGCUGAAGACUUUGCAAAGUUACAUGCAGGAUUUGAAAGGGUUUUCAGAACCAAAAAUUGAAUUAGAGCAGUAUGAGACCCCACCUCAUAUUGCAGCAAUAGCUAUUUAUACUAUACAGACACAAUUUGAAAGUAUUGAGGACAAAUUAGUCCUAGAUGCUGGUUGCGGACCUGGGUCUUUAACUGUUGGAGCGGCAUUAAUGGGUGCCGCGGCCGUCACUGCAGUUGACAUAGACUGUGAUGCACUGGAAGUGUUUCGGCACAAUGCUGAUGAAAUGGAAAUAACUAAUGUUGAUGCUGUCCAAUGUGAUUUUUUGGAAUCGAAUUUUUGCAG
rnacentral:misc_RNA from 1 species